AGGACGAACGCUGGCGGCGUGCUUAACACAUGCAAGUCGAGCGGAAAGGCCCUUCGGGGUACUCGAGCGGCGAACGGGUGAGUAACACGUGAGUAAUCUGCCCCUAGCUCUGGGAUAGCUCCGGGAAACCGGGAUUAAUACCGGAUACGACCACCUUAGACAUCUUUUGUGGUGGAAAGAAUUUCGGCUAGGGAUGAGCUCGCGGCCUAUCAGCUUGUUGGUGGGGUAACGCCUACCAAGGCGACGACGGGUAGCCGGCCUGAGAGGGCGACCGGCCACACUGGGACUGAGACACGGCCCAGACUCCUACGGGAGGCAGCAGUGGGGAAUAUUGCGCAAUGGGCGAAAGCCUGACGCAGCGACGCCGCGUGGGGGAUGAAGGCCUUCGGGUUGUAAACCCCUUUCAGCAGGGACGAAGCGAAAGUGACGGUACUGCAGAAGAAGCGCCGGCUAACUACGCGCCAGCAGCCGC
rnacentral:rRNA from 1 species